rnacentral:rRNA from 1 species
GAUGAACGCUAGCUACAGGCUUAACACAUGCAAGUCGAGGGGAAACGGCAUUGAGUGCUUGCACUCUUUGGACGUCGACCGGCGCACGGGGGAGUAACGCGUAUCCAACCUUCCCAUUACUGUGGGAUAACCUGCCGAAAGGCAGACUAAUACCGCAUAGUCUUCGAUGACGGCAUCAGAUUUGAAGUAAAGAUUUAUCGGUAAUGGAUGGGGAUGCGUCUGAUUAGCUUGUUGGCGGGGUAACGGCCCACCAAGGCUACGAUCAGUAGGGGUUCUGAGAGGAAGGUCCCCCACAUUGGAACUGAGACACGGUCCAAACUCCUACGGGAGGCAGCAGUGAGGAAUAUUGGUCAAUGGACGGAAGUCUGAACCAGCCAAGUAGCGUGCAGGAUGACGGCCCUAUGGGUUGUAAACUGCUUUUGUAUGGGGAUAAAGUUAGGGACGUGUCCCUAUUUGCAGGUACCAUACGAAUAAGGACCGGCUAAUUCCGUG